GUCCAGGGAUGGGGAUCGAACCCACAGUAUUCCGCUUACCGGGAAGAUGCCAUGUCCACUAGUUUACCCUGAA
rnacentral:tRNA from 1 species